GUGCGCAGCGGCGGUCUUGGAGGACGGCGUGUUGUCUGCUGGUUGCUUGCGGCGACCGUUUCCUGGGCAUCUUCAUCAUCCACGGCCAUCCAGGGCACUAGGCGGUGCCCACCGUUUUUUACGCCCAGGCGGGAGUAGUGCCCGAGGUGACAGUCGUACAGUGAGAGGGCAUACUGUCACAGAGCAGCCCUUCUGCAAGAUGCCUUGGAGCAGUCACUGGACACCUGGGCCUGCUGUUGGGAGAUGUUUUGUGAGCCUCAUGCUUCUGCAGUCUGCUACCUUGUUAGCUGCAAGGAGGAAGUUCUGCAGACCUUCCCAGUUCCUGGUGACUGCCUUCUCCCAGUGGCUCCACUCUGUGUCCCUGCCCCAGCACAUGGCGUCCCUCCGUGUUUCCACAAGAGCAAUCCCAGGAUGCCAGAGCUAGUAGAAACGUGAGAUGGUUUCUUCAAUGGCUGCCAGGCUGUUCCAUGGAACUUGUGCGGGGAAGAGGUCAUGGAAACUGAGAAAUGAGGCCUGCCCAUGUUGAUACGCCCAAUGAGGAAAAUGAUGCCUGAUGUGGAGCAGAAUUUGAACUCAAGUCUUUACAUCUUAAUUGUCUGAGUUCUCUGCUUCUGGAGUGAGGAGCCUUUCUGUGCAUCAGGACCCAGUCCUUUCUGGCAUCAUCUGAAUGAAAAUGAGGUGUUUAAUAAAUGUGCUUUUAAAUGAG